AUUGAACGCUGGCGGCAUGCCUUACACAUGCAAGUCGAACGGCAGCACGGGGCAACCUGGUGGCGAGUGGCGAACGGGUGAGUAAUGCAUCGGAACGUACCUUUAAGUGGGGGAUAACGUAGCGGAAGUUACGCUAAUACCGCAUAUUCUGUGAGCAGGAAAGCAGGGGAUCGCAAGACCUUGCGCUGAUUGAGCGGCCGAUGUCAGAUUAGCUAGUUGGUGAGGUAAAGGCUCACCAAGGCGACGAUCUGUAGCGGGUCUGAGAGGAUGAUCCGCCACACUGGAACUGAGACACGGUCCAGACUCCUACGGGAGGCAGCAGUGGGGAAUUUUGGACAAUGGGGGCAACCAUGAUCCAGCCAUGCCGCGUGAGUGAAGAAGGCCUUCGGGUUGUAAAGCUCUUUCGGCCGGGAAGAAAUCGCACGGGCUAAUACCCUGUGUGGAUGACGGUACCGGAAUAAGAAGCACCGGCUAACUACGUGCCAGCCGCCGCCGUAAAAC
rnacentral:rRNA from 1 species